GGGAGGGGCAGGACCCGCUCUCCCCGCCCCGGGCGGCCUGCAGGGCGCGCCCCGUCCCUUCCCGUCUCGUUCCGUCCCGUCGGGUCCCAGCCCCGCCAACUCUCACCCUGCCCGGCCCUUCCAGAGGAUCCACCUGCAGCCCCCGACCUCUGACUUAGGUCCCCGAGGUCGGGGCUCGGUGGGAAGGAAAGCGAGGGGCUUCCCGGAAAGAAAGGGAGGAGGAGGCAGGAGGAGGCAGAAGCCGAGAGAGGAGAAAAGGAGGCCUGAGGCAGAGGGAAAAGGAGGAGGGCAAGAGAAUCCUAGAGCGGGAAGAGCGUGGGCUCUGCGGGACGUGGGCGAGAGGUUACAGGGGAAAGAAUGGACAUUGACGACAGAGAGCAAGUUUAGCCUGGAGAGGAGGAAUUGAGUGAGCAAAGGGAGUAGUCUGGGGUGCGAGGGACAGAAAGGCCCGUCCAAGGUAACCUUCACGUCUCCGUAUCCGUUGCUGUCGACUUUCCAGAACCUUUGUUCCCAGUGACAUCCCUAUUUCAAUGAAGGGACACAGUUCACCUUCCCCCCCCCCCCCCCCGAGCAUUUCUCUCGCCCUCCCACCCUGCGGGGCCGCAGAGCUUGCUCCUCACGGCAGGAGUUGGAGCCCUGACGCUUGCCUUCACCUAGUUUUUGUUUGGUUUGGUUUGGCGUUGAUGGGACAAAGUCAGCCAAACUACUUUGCCAUCAGCAGAGAAGUCUCGGGUAUGUCUUUAUUAGCAGCAUGAGAACAGACUAAUAUACCAACCAAGCACCAAGACAUAAGGAGGAUGUCAUAAGAGAGCACAUGUUCACGCAGGAAUGUUCACAAGAUGUGUAGAUGGGAGAGCACAAGUCAUGGGACCCAGGGUGCCACAAAUACAGGUCAAGAGGAAGAGACCACAACCAUAUGUCAUGAGAGGAUUGUGACAUAGAGAAUGGUGAUAUUUUGGCAGGGAAGUCAUUAGUGAAUGUUACUGAUCCUCUCCAAUUCCUCAUGCCUCUUCCAAAGGUGCUGCCCAGUAGGAACAGGAGGCAGUGAAGACCUAACAAAAGCAGACCAUAUGCAUAGUAGCAGCCAUCGGUGUCCAUAAGCCAUGAUAUCAAAGAGCUGGAGUUUUCCCAUUUCUUUUCUGAGCACUGCCUGAACCAGAAACUCAGAUGUGACAUUACCAGUAAUGAGCGGUGAAGCUUCAAGAAAGCUUUCUGAACUUUCCUUUCCCAUCCAUUGUGCUAGAAAGAAAAUUUAAUAUUUUCAAUCUCUCUAGAGAAAAUGUUAUAAAAUUUUUCAUAUGAGGAGAUAAUCAAAGUGUGCAACCCAAAAAUGUAGAAAACAAUUGUUACAGAGGUGACGGGCAGUUAAUUAAUAACUAACUUUUCUGGAUUUUGUGAUGUUUGUGCUAUUUGUGUGCUUUUUAAAAAACGUUGUAUUUUGUGAUUUCCUCAUUUUAAAUACUCAUUUUCAUAGCUAAUUUUGCAUUCAUAAUUUCGUGUUCUUUUUCUUAAACAAGGCCCACCCAUCUGGCUCUGGUCUGUCCAACACAAGCUGAUGUCUGGCUCCCAUUUGGGCUAUUACAUAUUGAAGGCUAACCUUUCUGGGACAGAUGCAGAAGGCACAUCUCAUCUUUCUGAGGUCCAAGUUAAUUAAAUCAAUUGAUAAUAAAUGUAAAGAUUUAUAUCUGAACUCUCAAGUCUCUUUCACUGAUCUGUGCCAAUUCCUGUGCCAAUACCACACUUUCUCAAUUGCUGUGGCUUUAAAUUUUGAAAUCAAAUGUAUAAGUCCAUCAGUGUCGGUCUUUUUAUUCAGAAUUAUUUUGGCUACUCUAUGUCUUCUGCAUUUCCCCAUAAAUUCUAGAAUCAGCAAGUCAAUUUCUACAAAAAUUCCUAUUGGGAUUUUGAUAGAGAUUGAGUGGAAUCUGUAGAUCCAUUUGAAGAUAAUUGCCAUCUUGACGAUAUUUAGCUUUCAAUCAAUAAAUACAAAAUCCAUCUCCAGGUAUUUAGAUAUCUUUUGAUAUCUCUCAGCAAUAUUUUAUAGUUUUCAGUGUACGGGCCUUACCCUUCCUUUUGUAAAAUUUAUUUCUAAAAGUAUUAUACUUUUUUGAUGCUGUAAAUCAAUAAUUUUUUUCUUAAUUUUAUUUGUAGAAUAUUCCUAAGAAUAAAAUUUUCUUAAUUUUAUUUGUAGAAUGUUCAUUGCUGGUAUACAGAAAUAUAACUGAUUUUGUAUACUGAUCUUGUAUCCUACAACUUUGUAAAACUCAGUUAAUCUAUUUGCUUUUUUGUAGACUUUUGCUGAUUCUCUACAUAAACAGUUAUGUCAUCUGCAAGUAAUGAGUUUUACUUCUUCAUUUCCCAUCCAGAUACCUUUUCUUUUCUUACCUUAUUGCAAUGGCUAUAAUCUCAAUGACAAUGUUAAAUAAAAGUAGUAAGAAUGAAUAUCCUUUUCCUAUUCUCAACCUCAGAAGCAAAGCACUUUGUUUUUCACCAUUAUAGAUGAUGUUAGCUUUGACUUUUUUGAAGAUACCCUUUACCAAUCAAGCUGAAAAAAUUUCUUUUAUUUCUAGUUUGUUGAGAGUUUUUAUCAUGAAUGAGUAUUGGAUUUUGUCAAAAACAUUUCUAAAUCAUGUGGGUUUUUGUUUUAUUGUAUUAACAUAUUAUAUUAAUCACUUUCAGAUAUUAAAUCAACCUUGCAUUCAAACAUGUGUUUUUUUCUUUUUUUUUGGAGGCAGAGUCUCACUUUGUCACCCAUGCUGAAGUACAGUGGUGCAAUUUCAGAUCACUGCAAUCUCCGCCUCCUGGGUUCAAGCAAUUCUCCUGCCUCAGCCUCCUGAGUAGCUGGGAUUACAGGCAUGCUCCACCAUGCUUGGCUAAUUUUUGUAUUUUUAGUAGAGAUGAGGUUUCACCAUUUUGGCCCGGCUGGUCUUGAAUUCCUGACCUCAAGUGAUCCACCCACCUCAGCCUCCCAAAGUGCUAGGAUUACAGGCAUGAGCCACCACAUCCAGCUCCUAACAUGUGUUUUUAAUGGCUGUACCUAGUCUUUCAUUUUUAUCCUACUAUAACUAAUUUUUAUGAGCAAAUACAGAGCUUCAUCAACUGGGGAUCCUCCAAAAUUGACAGUAAGAGACAUGCUGUUGCAUUUGCAGGUAUGCCCAGGGUCCAGAUAAGUAUGCAUAAAUAUUGUGUUGCCAUAGUGAUUAAGGGCAUUCUUCCCAAGAUGAUUUGACAACAGCAAAUCUUUUAAAAGUACCUUCUCUAGAAGUAUUUGGCAAUGAUCCUACUACUUCUCUGAAUAUUCAAUAGAAGUACAGAUGAAGUAGGAUGGUCUAGUAAUUAAAAGUAUGAUCUCUGUGGACAGGCAGGCUCCCUAGUUCAAAUUCUGGCUCUAGCAUCUACUUGCUGUGUGACUGUGGGUAAGUUAAACUCUUUGAGCCUUAGAUUUCUCAUCUGUAAAAUACCUCUUUGGUAAAAUGAGACAAUAAAAGCUACUCCAAAGGGUUGAUGAGAAGAUUGCCAGUAAAUGUAAGUAGAACAUACAGUUCAGUACCUGGCAUGCAGAGCUCAACAAACAGUAGCAAUUACGACUAAGACAGUUUCAACAUUCCCCUCACCUUGACUAAACUUUACAUGCUUUAUUCGUGAGCAUAGGCCCCUUUUCUUAGAUCAUUCAUGGAAUACUAUGCAGCCAUAAAAAAUGAUGAGUUCAUGUCCUUUGUAGGGACGUGGAUGAAAGUGGAAACCAUCAUUCUCAGCAAACUAUCGCAAGGACAAAAAAUCAAACACCGCAUGUUCUCACUCAUAGGUGGGAAUUGAACAAUGAGAACACAUGGACACAGGAAGGGGAAUAUCACACACCGGGGACUGUUGUGGGGUGGGGAGAGGGGGGAGGGGAGAGAGAUAGCAUUAGGAGAUAUACCUAAUGCUAAAUGACAAGUUAAUGGGUGCAGCACACCAACAUGGCACAUGUAUACAUAUGUAACAAACCUGCACGUUGUGCACAUGUACCCUAAAACCUAAAGUAUAAUAAUUUAAAAAAAAAGAAAACUUGCAAUUAUAAUUUCUUUCUCUAUCCCUCUGUGAAGUAAAUCUUCUACAACCCAGGAGCAUCUUUCUCCAAAGCCUAAGAACCAUGCCUUUAAAAUGUAAUCAUCAAGAAAAAUUGCACCUCUGUUUCUUUGUAUCUGUGGGAAAGGAGAAGCCUAACUUCAGUAGGUACCAAUUAGCAAACACAGAUAGCCUGAUCCCAAUUACCAACCUCACCUCUAGUGUCUUUCAGUACUUACUAACUCACCUCAAUGCUUAAAAUUCUCCUGUCUUUUGUUUCAGUGUGAUUGAGUUUAAUUUCUCCCCCAUUGCGAUAGUCUUGAUCUCUUUUGCAAUAGUCUUGAAUAAAGUCUUCCUUGACUGUCUAACUCAUCCAGUGUAACUUUUCUUACAUUAUAAUGGUUAUUUUAUGGAGAAAGAAGCAUGGGUUCUCCUUCCGGUUGUUUCAGCUGUAUAACUUUAGUCAAUAUCCACUGGAUAGAAUUUCAGUAAAAGAAAACUAUCUCUUUAUGGGUUAAAAGGCAAGGGUAUAGGGGGGCAAAAUAAGAAGCACUGUGGUUCAAUUAUAGUGUUCUCAUUUCUUCUGAAAUCCUCUAGUUGAGUAUUGUAAUUUCAGUGAAACAACUUAUCUCCCUAAAAGACUGAUUUUGAAAGACUAUUUUCCUUUCCCUGUUAACUGCUCCCAACCCAACAGCCAUCAUCAUUUUUAAAGGAAUUCUAAGGGCAAAGAAAGUAAGAAUCUAAGAGAAUGUAAUACAAUUGAUGACCCAAAGAAAAGCAGCACAUAUUAAAUUGUGACUUAAAUGCUAUUCAAAACAUAAAAUCGUGCCAUUGUAGUAUGUGUUUGCCUGCGUGUCUAUGCCUUUAUUUCUCAAUGAUGAAUUAUAUUUCAAUGAAAAAGAAUAAUGCCUUCCAAGUAAUAGUAUCAUUAUAUAAGCGACAAUUAUGCCACUAAAUUUAGAUAAUUUAGAAAUAGUCUUAAGGAGAGAAACAGAAAUUAGAGAAAAAGUAUUGAAAUAUAAAGUAAGGAACUGGGAUGUAUUGUUUUUCUCAAUGAAGAUAAUAUUUACUUUUGCUUUAAGAUCUAGAUAGACAAAUGUUUUCUGGUUAACAAUUUAUCCAAAAAGAAAAAAGAAUGUCAACUUUUUUUUUUUUUUUUUUUUUGCUUUAUUCCAGAGAGCUCCAGAAGGUUUUUGAUUUAAAAAAGAAAACAACAAACAAUGAUACUCAAAUGUCAUAUUGGAAUCCUUAGGCAAGAGCUGUUGGUUUUUUAAUUUGCUCUUAAUACUAUGAUCAAAUAAAAAAAGGAAAAUUUUACAAAUCAUUAACAGCUUUGAGGAUGAGGGAAGAGCAGAUUUUCAAGCAUUCUUCUUUAUUUAGUCAGAAAUGACUGGCUCAACCUCAGCCUACUUCUCUGAGGCACAUUCCUACCAACUCUUGCAUAUUAAAUUUUGCCAGAGCAAUGGGCCUGACAUGGCCUUUUGAAUCACAGUGAAUCACAGUGACCCUUAUCCAACUGAAUGUCUCCUCCAAUCAUGUUGAAUGUACACCAAGCAUUCUACAGUGCCAAGAUUAAGACCUGCAUUGUUUUUCUAAAACCCAUAUUACCUGGCCAUUGUGUAAGAGAAAGAUAUAUUUAGGAUUGAAGGGUGCUUCUUAUUAGACCUACUCAGGAAGAAAAUAAGUCUAGAGGAGCCAAACUCAAAACAUACUCUUCACCAUACAUAAUCAAAUUCCUCAGAAAUAAUGUUCUUCUUCUCCAUCUAUAUUUUGGAAAAUUACAUGAAAAUCAGUAGAUACUUGUAAUGCAAUCAGUGCUGAAUUAUUACCCAACAAGCUGAGUCUUUCAGGGCACCAGCAAAACAGAGGAAUCAGGAAUGACUAAGAAAAGUUUAACUUUGAUGAAUUUAUGUAGCGUCUUGAAAUAAAAUGUAAAAAGCCAUUUUCAUUUCAGUAUUCAUGAGUUUUAUAACAUUUUGAAAAAGUAAAUUUUCUUUUGAAGAUUUUAUAAAUUACACAUGGGGUUGUUAUUACACUGUCUUCAGUGUUCAAGGUUUCUAAAAUUCUCAAUUCAGCCCUGGAUACAAAAACUCUAAACACAGAGGGUUAAGGUAUUAAAGAUGAAAGCUAGUACCCUUACAACUAUUUAUAUUGCAAAAGCUUUGCCCUCCUGCAAGAACAUGCAGUUUCCCAAACAGUAACCUCUCUUUACAAGGUUAUGCUUAUUAGCUGGGAUUUGAAGCUCAAUAGCAACACUGUUCAUCCAUGGUUCAAUUCAGAUUGUAAUUUCUUUUUAAACUACCUGACCCUUAUAAUCAUAUGGUGAGUUGGUCUGAUCAUUCAUCUUCUAGAGGCCAAGUACUUGGUCUGAACACAGAGUCACUUGUAUUUCUGAAGCCUCUCUGCAUCAAGAUGAUUGGGGUGAAAAACUGUCAAUUGAAAAAAGUUUGAAAGAAACCUUUUAUACAAUGUUUUCAUUGUCUUGUUCUUUUUCUGGAACCACAAUUUCUGAUUGGGAAAACAAAAGUCUUCCUAGAUACAAGAAUGAGGUUUUAAGAGAUAAUCUUUGUUUCUAAUUAAGUGUGGAAGCUAUCAACUAUUGCAUUGUCCCCAGUGUCAGAAUGUGCUGAAUAAGAUUUUGCUUUUUCUCAGGGCCCAGCAUUUAUUAAGCACUCAGCAAAUGCUUACUGAAUGAAUGAAUGACUCUACCCAAGCUCGUGUCUUUGUCUCAAAGCUGUAUCUUCCGUCACAGUAUUAAAAUGUUUUUAUGAACAUGAGCAUCUGGCUGCACAUACAGGGCAGCACAUUCCACACGUUGCCCUAAUUGGAUCACCAAUUGGAGGAAAGUAAGUCACAAGCUGAUUGCUUAGACUGGGUUUUUCCCCAUCUCUGAACCAAUCUCUGAGGCAAAAAAAAAAAUGCUAUUAGGCUACUGAUUUAUAUAAAGCAGUGCCUAUCAUUUCUGCAGUUAGGAUGGAGUCAAUUCCAUCCAAAGUCAAUAGAAGAGAGACAAUACUCUAAAGGAGGCCUAGGAGCCAUGAAUAACUGCUGAGGGUACCAUAGAUGCUGGGUUAGACAAGCAAGAAAUAGUGACGAUGUGACUUCUGUUUUUAUGAUGGCUCAGCGGAAAACUAAUAAAUACAACCAGUGUGUUAGAAAUAAUUCCAUAUCUCCUAAGAUUUAAAGAAAAUCUUUACAUUGGUUAAAAAGAUACUAAUAAGUUUUUGUGUGUGUAACAUUUGAUACCAGGCUUUUGUUUUUAAGUAAAAAAACUCUAAGAUGCAACUUACUGUGUAGUGGAAAGAGUGUUAGACUCACUAGAUAUUGAUUAGCUGACUGACCUAGAGCGUUUCUUAUCAGUCAACAAAACUAUUUCCAGAGAGGUUUGAAAUAAAACAGUUGACUUUAUAUAGAUUAUGGUUAACAUCUUUUGCAGAUUUUCUAAGAAAUCUUUCCCUAUCAGAGGUCCCCAAAACAUUCCUUUAUCAUUUUCCUUCUAAAUCUUUUAUACAUGCUUAAGGAAAAUGCGCAUGCUCUAAUUUGAGGGAACAUGAUCCUUCAUGUAUUAAUUGAAUCAACUUUGGUUACCAUGUUGUUCUAUUUACUUUUUUGCUGCUCGAGCUAAAAAUUGAGUGACUUCAAAUACAACAUAAUAGUUUUUUUUCCGUUUUGCUCUCUACAUUUUUUUUUACUUUAAUAACUUUAUUUAGAACUGUUACAGCUACUUCAGUUGAAAUUUCUAUUAUUUUUGAGACUCUCCUUAUCCCUAUUAAUGCUUUUCACUUUAAUAUUUGUAAGGCUAAUAUUGAUAUAGCUAUCCUAACCAGGUAUAUUUGCUUGUUUUAUUUUCCCUAAUUCUACUUUUUGUCUUUCUCUGUCCUUGUACUGUCUUUUGUAAACCGUAUAUAUUGAACAAGGUAGACUUUUUUUUUUAUUAAUCUGGUGAGAUAGGCAAUUUAUAUUUAUUGUAACCAUUUAUUAUAUACUAUGCCAUUUCUUUGCUUUUUCUAUGCUUUUUCUUCCUUCUUGCAUUUUUGUGGUCUAUCAAAGUUGGGAUUUCUAAAGUGUUUUUCCCUUAUUUCGGAAUGUUUCCUCUCUACUGGUUUGAAAGUUAUAUUGUAUUGCUGUUCUUUAAUGGUUAUCUGAAAAUUUCUUGUUAAGUACUUCGAUUAACAAAGUCUAAAGUCAUUCAUUAUCUUAACUUCCAUCCUAAAGAGUAUCAGGAUCCUGGAGCACUCACACUAACUUCUACGUGUUCCCGGACACUUUCCCCACAUAUACAUUUCCUGAGUUAUGUAAAAUGUUGCUAGUAUUUUAAUUAUGCUCUUUUUUACUCCACAGAGUAAAUACUUCUUAAUAUAGACAGUAUUUAUUUACAUUUCCCAUGAUUACUGAUUUUUUAGCUCACCAUACCUUCUUGCAUCUCAGGCUUUCCUCCUAGUCAUUUUGCUCUACUCUAAAAUUCAUCCUUAUUCUUAAGUGAAGGUCCAUUGUUUGUAAAUUCUCAUUUUGAGAAAAAAGUGUUUUUAAUAUACCCUUGAUUUUGAAAGAUAACUUCACUGGGCACUCAUUCUAUUGAGUUAUUCUCUCAGUACCUUAAAGAUGUUAUUCCACUGUCUUUUGCCUUCCAGUUUUGGCACUGAAAAGUCUCCUGUCGGCCAGGUGCAGUGGCUCACGCCUCUAAUCCCAGCACUUUGGGAGGCCGAGGCAGGUUUAUCAACUGAAGUCAGGAGUUCGAGAACAGCCUGGCCAACAGGGCAAAACCCCGCCUUUACUAAAAAUACAAAAAAAUUAGCCAGGUGUAGUGGUGCACACCUGUACUCCCAGCUACUCGGGAGGCUGAGGCAGGAGAAUCAAUUGAACCCAGGAAAUGGAGGUUGCAGUGACCAGAGAUCACACCACUGCACUCCAUCAUGGGUGACAGAGGAAGACUGUGUCUCAAAAAAAAAAAAAAAA